CAGUGGGUAGAGCGGGCGCACAUAUACUUGAAGGUUUAUGCCUCGACGCAGAGGCCCAGGGUUCAAAACCGACCUGUGGCUCUUUCCUGCAUGUCUUCCCCAUCUCUCUCCCCUUUGAUAUCUAAGCUCUCCUAUCAGUUAAAGGCGGAAAUGUCC